rnacentral:rRNA from 1 species
CGGGUUGUAAAGCACUUUUAGUGGGGACAAAAAGUCACGAAUUAAUACUUUGUGAUCUUGAUUUAACUCACAGAAAAAAGCACCGGCUAACUCUGUGC